rnacentral:rRNA from 1 species
AUGGGGCACAAGGGCGGGGAGACUCGCAAGGAGCAGCUCGGGGAGGAGGGGUACCGCGAGAUGGGGCGCAAGGGCGGGCUGAGCACCAUGGAGGAGUCUGGUGGCGAGCGCGCCGCCAGGGAGGGCAUCGAGAUCGAUGAGUCCAAGUUCAAGACCAAGUCCUAA